AAAACUGUGACCUUUGUUGCCAUGGGUUUUGGCUGACCAAAUGGGGUCCUAUUGGUCCCAAGCCUUAGUUGUAUUUCUAAGUGUGCUUGAAGUUGCAUGAGAAAGUAUUUCAGAAUUCCUACUAGAUUGAAAGUUAUGCUUCGAUUUGUGCAUACAUGUCACUGUUGACAGGACUUAGCAGAAUUGAGAAUUGAUCUAUGUUGUCAUGAGGUUCUGACUGACCAAUUGAGAUCCAAAUGCUUCCAAAUUGGUUUGUUGGAUGGAUGGGUGUUCCUACUUGAAAUUUUCUUUUGAAAUCAUCCCAGGAUUCCUCAUGAAUUGGGAGUUAUGCCUUUGAUAAGUGGGACAUGUCGCUGUAGUAGAAUAUAGGAUUUUCAACACCAAUGUU
rnacentral:lncRNA from 1 species